rnacentral:rRNA from 1 species
ACGGAGGGUGCAAGCGUUGUUCGGAAUUACUGGGCGUAAAGCGCGCGUAGGCGGUUUUAUAAGUCAGAUGUGAAAGUCCACGGCUCAACCGUGGAAGUGCAUUUGAAACUGUAUUACUUGAGUACUGGAGGGGGUGGUGGAAUUCCCGGUGUAGAGGUGAAAUUCGUAGAUAUCGGGAGGAAUACCGGUGGCGAAGGCGACCACCUGGCCAGAUACUGACGCUGAGGUGCGAAAGCGUGGGGAGCAAACAGG